CCCCUUUUUCCAACUCCUCAAAUGUCUGCUACGCAGUUAACACCUCCGUACCGUUUUUGAUAGAAGUCUUCUACUUUGUUCGUCAAGUUUACAAGCAACUCAAGCAAAUUUGCGCCUCUAAUUACUGCCUGCUUUUGGCUUCUAAAGACACUGCGAUAUAAAAAAGCGCUCCAGAAACCAAAGAACGCUUCGAUCUCCAGCGCAUCACAAAGCUCUUCAAUAUUGCGCUGAGCCUCAAUAUUUCCAACUAGCCUCUACAAACACAGAGAUCAGCUUCUACCUAUUCCAAAAUGGGUGCAGCUUUGGAGACCUCGAAAAGAGCUUACGAGCGUUUUCGUUCCAUCUGCCGGUCUGCAAAAUCGCGUAUCACACGUCCUGGAGACACCAAACCUGUUCCUCCAGGUGACUCAUCGGAGCCGGCGACUGUAGCCGACAAUGUCUCUUCUCGCUACAGACCAACUCAAAGGCGUAUUAGCCCUAGCGUUGGAGGCGCUCCUGGCCCCUCUCCUCCACCCAGCACUCCAACUUCCUGUCUACCCCAAGGGCCUAUGACUUCCGGAGUCGGAGGCACACUUAGCCCCUCUGCACCGCGCAGCACCUCAACCUCGUCGCUGGAUGAAAGUCCACUUGACAAAAACGACGUGCUCAGAGAAGCUCCGAUUGCAGGGUUCCGACUACCAUCGAGGAAAGCUCAACUGAUCAUGCAAGCUUACCGGUUGGGUCACGACAACGGAUGCACCACCAACGACCUGAGCUUCCACGGCUGGUUUGCAUGCGUCAAGCUGAAUACCGCCAUCUACUUCCGCUCCAACGCCAAGAUUGUAGAUGGCCAGCUCAUCCUAAAGCUCGACGUCUCGAAGCGGGCCAUAAACCCGUCCUUCAAAGCCCACCUGCAGAUUGGAGUGCUGGACAACAUGAUCCCAGAGAUGUACCUGAAGUUCUCCAAAUUCAGCUUCAACCAACGCAGCGCGGACUCAACCGUUUUCAUCCACUAUCCCAACAGCGACGCGGAAGUGCGUGCGACGAUGACCACGAACCCCCAGACAAAAGUGCGCGAUAUGCGCGUUACGCUAUGGUGCAAUCUGGGAGGAUGCGAGAGCCCCUUCGACAGCCGGCG
rnacentral:sRNA from 2 species